AAGGCAAUCCACAUUCCACAGCAACGAAGAGCAGACGACGAGGGGAAUGCAAGUCCAGUCCGUUUGCUGCUCUCACCCCAUCCCUCAUUCUUCCACCAACGUAUCUCUCCGUAAUUUCGGGUGGAAGAACGUCAGAUUUCGACCUGGAAAUGCUUCUAAAGGGGAAAGUAAGGUGUUCUCCCUUUUGCCCGACUCGGAGAAUUCUCAUGGAGUGAAAAAGGUGGUUCUCUCCAUUCCCAAUUCAAAUGCUAGCUCCAUGGUGGGCACUCCGAAUUCCGAUGUGGUUCGAAGGUCUGGGUCUGUUGGGAGGAUCGGUUUGGACCCCUUCCGCGGGAAGUCGGGUUCAGUUUCUUUCUGUGGACUGACCCACCAGCUGUUGGAAGAGAGGAAAUUGGUUUCUUCUCCUUUCAAGGAUGGUACAGGGUCGUACGUUUGGGCUGUCGGCCCGCUCGCAUUGAUAUCGUCACUGGUACUUCCCCAAUUUUUCCUUGGCAAUGCUAUUGAAAUGCUACUCAAAGAUGAGAUUCUUGCAGAAAUUGUAGCGUCAUUGUCCUCAGAGGUCAUAUUUUAUGUUGGGCUCGCUGCAUUUCUAUCUAUAACAGAUCAUGUACAGCGACCAUAUCUUGACUUCAGCUCUAAGAGAUGGAGCCUCAUCACAGGCCUCAAAGGAUACUUGUCUUCUGCGUUCUUCACCAUGGGUUUCAAGGUGUUUGCUCCUAUUCUUGCUGUAUAUGUUGCUUGGCCAGUUAUUGGUCUCCCAGCUGUGGUUGCAGUUGCUCCAUUUCUACUGGGAUGUGCAGCUCAAUUUGCAUUCGAGAUGCACCUCAACAGGCGUGGUUCAUCUUGUUGGCCUAUAUUGCCAAUUAUUUUUGAGGUUUAUAGAUUGUUUCAGUUAAAUAAAGGAGCACAUUUUAUUGAAAAAUUGAUGUUCUCAAUGAGAGGAUCCUCUGUGACCCCUGCGUUAAUGGAAAUAGGUGGAACAUUGGUUUCCAUGCUAGCUGUUCUGCAAGUCCUUGGUGUUGUUUGUUUGUGGUCCUUGACUACAUUUCUUCUAAGACUCUUCCCUUCUAGACCUGUGGCAGAGAACUACUAAAUGUCAGGGCCAUUGCUUGGUGCCAUGGUAAAAGGCUAGGGCUGGCAAAUGCAAUGGUGCAGAUUUGAGUCUUUAGGUAGCUACUUUGUGCGAAAAAUGCCAAAGAUUGUUGGCUAACUUCACUUGUCACGGAGACUGUCAGUCCUGAAAUGGAACUAAUUGGAAGCGAAAAAUGGUUCUCAGUGUCAUUCUUUGCCACUUUGCCUUGGUCCUCAACAAGAGAGGUUACAGCCAGCUGCAAAAUUAUGGCCUCAAGGGCCCCUUGAUUUGUAUUGCAGCAUUAUAUUUGCCUUUGAUGGUUCUCAUAUAACCUGUGCUUUGUAAAGAACAGAAUUUUAAUUAUCAUCUUUCUGAUAAAAAGAUAGCCUUCAUAUCUACGAAAUUAGUCCAUUUUCUCCAUUGUACAUCACAUUUUUUAUCUGACUGCCUGUCCUUGAUCUUGUUUAUGUACUAGAAAAGUUAGUUUUUAUGCACAACAGCAAA